rnacentral:rRNA from 1 species
GACGAACGCUGGCGGCGUGCUUAACACAUGCAAGUCGAACGGAAAGGCCUCUUUCGGGGGGUACUCGAGUGGCGAACGGGUGAGUAACACGUGAGUAACCUGCCCUUGACUUUGGGAUAACUUCAGGAAACUGGGGCUAAUACCGGAUAGGAGCUCCUGCUGCAUGGUGGGGGUUGAAAGUUUCGGCGGUUGGGGAUGGACUCGCGGCUUAUCAGCUUGUUGGUGGGGUAGUGGCUUACCAAGGCUUUGACGGGUAGCCGGCCUGAGAGGGUGACCGGCCACAUUGGGACUGAGAUACGGCCCCGACUCCUACGGGAGGCAGCAGUGGGGAAUAUUGCACAAUGGGUGGAAGCCUGAUGCAGCAACGCCGUGUGCGGGAUGACGGCCUUCGGGUUGUAAACCGCUUUCGCUCAUGACGAAGCUUUGUGUGACGGUAGUGGGUAAAGAAGCACCGGCUAACUACGUG